CCAAGGUCCCUCAGCCUCCAGGACUCAGGGGGAGUAGGGGAAGAUAGGGGUGGGGUCGGGUGUGCAGGGCCAUGUGGGUGGCCCAUUCUGUUACUGCCCAGAGAACUGUCAGCUUUGUUUUUUUGAGACGGGGUCUCGCUCUGUUGCCCAGGCUGGAGUUUUUUUUUUUUUUUUUUUUUUUUUUUUUUUUUUUUUUUUUUUUUUUUUUUUUUUUUUUUUUUUUUUUUUUUUUUUUUUUUUUUUUUUUUUUUUUCUUGCUUUGUCACCCAGGUUUCUUGCUUUGCAGUUCGGAUUGGAUCUCUCACUUGCCUAUCAGAACUUCCCACUGAGGCCGGGCGCGAUGGCUUAUGCCUGUAAUCCCAGCACUUUGGGAGGCCGAGGUGGGUGAAUCACCUUAGGUGAGGAGUUCCAGACCAGCCUGGCCAACAUGGCGAAACCCCAUCUCUACUGAAAAUACAAAAAUUAGCCAGGCGGGGUGGCGCGCACCUAUAAUCCCAGCUACUUUGGGAAGCUGAGGCAGGAGAAUCGCUUGNNNNNNNNNNAACCUCCGCCUCCCAGGUUCAAGCGAUUCUCCUGCCUCAGCUUCCCAAAGUAGCUGGGAUUACAGGUGCGCGCCACCCCGCCUGGCUAAUUUUUGUAUUUUCAGUAGAGAUGGGGUUUCGCCAUGUUGGCCAGGCUGGUCUGGAACUCCUCACCUAAGGUGAUUCACCCACCUCGGCCUCCCAAAGUGCUGGGAUUAC
rnacentral:lncRNA from 1 species